rnacentral:rRNA from 1 species
CCUACGGGUGGCUGCAGUGAGGAAUAUUGGUCAAUGGGCGGGAGCCUGAACCAGCCAAGCCGCGUGAGGGAAGCAGGUACAGCGUAUCGUAAACCUCUUUUGUCAGGGCACAAAGGCGGGGACUAGUCCCCGGAUGAGGGUACCUGAAGAAAAAGCAUCGGCUAACUCCGUGCCAGCAGCCGCGUUAAUACGGAGGAUGCGAUCGUUAUCCGGAUUUAUUGGGUGUAAGGGGUGCGAAGGAGGCCUGUUAAGUCAGCGGUAAAAGCCCGGGGCGCAACCCCGGCGAGCCGUUGAAACUGGCGGGCGGGAGUUGGAGAGAAGUACGCGGAAUGCGCGGUGUAGCGGUGAAAUGCUUAGAUAGCGCGCAGAACCCCGAUUGCGAAGGAAGCGUACCGGCUCCACACUGACGCUGAGGCACGAAAGCGUGGGUAUCGAACAGGAUUAGAUACCCUAGUAGUC